CAAUACUGUACAAGUUUUUUACAGAUGCAAUUUUCUUGCACUUAGAUGACUGUAAACUACCGAUAAAAUGCCAUUGGACGUCGUCGGGCAUCUAUGGCACUGUUAGCCUUGUGAAUGGAAAUAAACAAUGAGAACCACUUAUUAUCUAACUUAAAAAAGUGUUUUUAAAGAUGGUAGGCAUCAAAAAAUAGAUUACCGAAAACACAUAAUACAUUCUAGCACUUACCAACUCUACUUUCUUUAGAAAUUCUUGCAUGUAAUUCUCGCCAAAGU